rnacentral:rRNA from 1 species
CAUUCUCAGUUCGGAUUGUAGGCUGAAACUCGCCUACAUGAAGCUGGAGUUACUAGUAAUCGCAGAUCAGAAUGCUGCGGUGAAUGCGUUCCCGGGUCUUGUACACACCGCCCGUCACACCACGGAAGUUGGGGGCGCCCGAAGCCACUUAGCUAACCCAUUUGGGAAGCGAGUGUCGAAGGUGAAAUCAAUAACUGGGGUGAAGUCGUAACAAGGUACC